rnacentral:rRNA from 1 species
UUUAUGGAGAGUUUGAUCCUGGCUCAGGAUGAACGCUGGCGGCGUGCCUAAUACAUGCAAGUCGAGCGAACGGAUGAGAAGCUUGCUUCUCUGAUGUUAGCGGCGGACGGGUGAGUAACACGUGGAUAACCUACCUAUAAGACUGGGAUAACUUCGGGAAACCGGAGCUAAUACCGGAUAAUAUUUUGAACCGCAUGGUUCAAAAGUGAAAGACGGUCUUGCUGUCACUUAUAGAUGGAUCCGCGCUGCAUUAGCUAGUUGGUAAGGUAACGGCUUACCAAGGCAACGAUGCAUAGCCGACCUGAGAGGGUGAUCGGCCACACUGGAACUGAGACACGGUCCAGACUCCUACGGGAGGCAGCAGUAGGGAAUCUUCCGCAAUGGGCGAAAGCCUGACGGAGCAACGCCGCGUGAGUGAUGAAGGUCUUCGGAUCGUAAAACUCUGUUAUUAGGGAAGAACAUAUGUGUAAGUAACUGUGCACAUCUUGACGGUACCUAAUCAGAAAGCCACGGCUAACUACGUGCCAGCAGCCGCGGUAAUACGUAGGUGGCAAGCGUUAUCCGGAAUUAUUGGGCGUAAAGCGCGCGUAGGCGGUUUUUUAAGUCUGAUGUGAAAGCCCACGGCUCAACCGUGGAGGGUCAUUGGAAACUGGAAAACUUGAGUGCAGAAGAGGAAAGUGGAAUUCCAUGUGUAGCGGUGAAAUGCGCAGAGAUAUGGAGGAACACCAGUGGCGAAGGCGACUUUCUGGUCUGUAA